GAUGAACGCUGGCGUCGUGCCUAAUACAUGCAAGUCGAGCGAACAGACGAGGAGCUUGCUCCUCUGACGUUAGCGGCGGACGGGUGAGUAACACGUGGAUAACCUACCUAUAAGACUGGGAUAACUUCGGGAAACCGGAGCUAAUACCGGAUAAUAUAUUGAACCGCAUGGUUCAAUAGUGAAAGACGGUUUUGCUGUCACUUAUAGAUGGAUCCGCGCCGCAUUAGCUAGUUGGUAAGGUAACGGCUUACCAAGGCAACGAUGCGUAGCCGACCUGAGAGGGUGAUCGGCCACACUGGAACUGAGACACGGUCCAGACUCCUACGGGAGGCAGCAGUAGGGAAUCUUCCGCAAUGGGCGAAAGCCUGACGGAGCAACGCCGCGUGAGUGAUGAAGGUCUUCGGAUCGUAAAACUCUGUUAUUAGGGAAGAACAAAUGUGUAAGUAACUAUGCGCGUCUUGACGGUACCUAAUCAGAAAGCCACGGCUAACUACGUG
rnacentral:rRNA from 1 species